UAUUACGAGCACCUGCCUUCUCCUUCGGCGGGGUAAACCCGCCGUCGGAACCACAAACCACCUUUUGUNUAAGUAUUACCUGUCAGAUAACAAACAAUCGUUACAACUUUCAACAAUGGAUCUCUUGGCUCUGGCAUCGAUGAAGAACGCAGCGAAAUGCGAUAAGUAGUGUGAAUUGCAGAAUUCAGUGAAUCAUCGAAUCUUUGAACGCACAUUGCGCCCCUCGGUAUUCCGUGGGGCAUGCCUGUUCGAGCGUCAUCUACACCCUCAAGCUCUGCUUGGUGAUGGGCGUCUGUCCCGCCUCGGCGCGCGGACUCGCCCCAAACGCAUUGGCAGCGGUCCUCGCCCCCUCUCGCGCAGCACAUUGCGCUUCUCGAGGGCUGGCGGCCCGCGUCCCAGCAAGCGACACCACCAUUUUGACCUCGGAUCAGGUAGG
rnacentral:rRNA from 1 species